rnacentral:rRNA from 1 species
UACGAAGGGGGCUAGCGUUGCUCGGAAUCACUGGGCGUAAAGCGCACGUAGGCGGAUCUUUAAGUCAGGGGUGAAAUCCCGGAGCUCAACUCCGGAACUGCCUUUGAUACUGGAGAUCUUGAGUCCGGGAGAGGUGAGUGGAACUGCGAGUGUAGAGGUGAAAUUCGUAGAUAUUCGGAGGAACACCAGUGGCGAAGGCGGCUCACUGGUCCGGUACUGACGCUGAGGUGCGAAAGCGUGGGGAGCAAACAGG